GGAACUCAUAGUCACUCCCUUAAUCUCCUCAUCCUGCUUUUACUGCUGCCCCUGCUGCUGUUGGUGUUGGGGGUAAUCCACUGCAGGAAACACAAAGGCACAGAGGACAAAACUGAAGGAAGCACCGCCAAAGAAUCAGAACUGUCCAAAGCAAGAAUCAAGACAUUUCUACCAGAAGUCUAUUCUUCAGUCUACUAUACUGCAGGAAAUGUGUCUUAUAGACCACUGAGAGCAGAGACAUCGGACUGAAGGAAAGAAGCAGCCACGGUGAUGUUACUGUGACCGAGUGUGUUUGUAUCUUUUCAUAUUGUUAUAAAAAAGUUUUAAUCUAAACAUGUUAUUUUGCAUCACUUUAAAGAGAUGCAGUAUUUUUAAUGAAAUGAGUCAAGAUGUAAAUUAUUAUUUUUUUUUUAGUUUCAUGAUUUAUAAAGCCACAUACAGUAUCAGUAAAUGUCAGCAGUGCAUAAGAGCAAAGACAUGCUGUAACGUGAGUCCAUGUCAUUGUUUUGUCCCGUGUUUCUCAAAUACAGAUGACAGGAAAUCCCAUCAAGACAGUUUGAUAGCAGAAAAUGUUUCCCUAAUAAUAAAUAAAUGUCAGAUUUUAGUGUCAGUUCCUCCAGGUCAAAGAAUGAAGUUCUUCUCUGUACAGCCACAGAUGAUUGUACAACUCAACUCAACUUUAUUUAUAUAGCACCUUCCAUAUAAACAUGAAGCCCAGAGUGCUUACAAAAAGCAACAAUAAAUGCAAUUAUGCAAGGUAACCAGGGUUAUUGAUAAUAAUAAUAAUAAUAAUAAUAAUAAUAAUAAUAAUAAUAAUAAUAAUGAUUCAAACUUAAAAGUCUAAGUUUAUAGAAUUACUCCAAAUUAAAAGCCCGAUUAAAAAGAUCUUUUCUCUUUAAUUACUUUUUCUGUUUGUUUUUUAAUGCAGAGAUAACUUGCCACUCUAAUAUCCAGAGGCACUGAGCUCCACGGUUUAGCGGCACUGUCACCUGAACUUUGUUAAGACAUUACAGGAACUACCACACAUUUAACUUAGCCUGUCUUUUCUAUUUCUUUGGUGAGGUUAAGAGAUGAGAAGAUGGCAAAAUCAUUAAAAUAACUGAAUUGCUAAAAAAUCUGCAAAAAGAACAAAAGCAAAUGAAUGUGUAUUUCCAUCCACUACUGUUAUGUGCAUAUAAGAAGUUGAGGCAUGCAGAUGAACAGCUGGUUACACUUAUUCUGGUCAUUUUAAUGUGUGAAUUUAAAUAAAAACAGGUGGAUGUAAUCGCAGGUGACCUGGAUUUUCAGUUCAACAACAUAUGGUAGUCAAGCUGCUUAUUUAAAACUCAUCGGGUGGUUCUCAGUCUGGGGUCUCUGUCUCAGUCACGUCAUCAGUGUGUAUUUUAAAAGGUGAGCCGGUUAAAAGAGUGGAACAGUUAAACCACAUUGUUCUAUCUGAUCUGUUCACACGUCUGAAGAUGCAGUUUCUAAGAACAGCUGUCUAAGUAUACUCACUGGUCAGCAACUAAGGUGAUGCUGUUAACAGCAGUUUGACCUCAAGCAGACACACAGAGCUUACACGCACAUUUAUAAUACAUUUUUAUUAUCUUAGUUUACCGUUAUUAAUAAUAUUAUUGUUGAUUUGACAGAAAAAGAAUGUGCAAUUUAUUAUUAUUUUCAUCAGUGGCAUCUGUUCAUUAUCAUAUUUUUUUCCUGUAUUUUGAUGUAAUAUCCUUUGUAUUCUGAUAUCAUAAUGUUAAAUUCAUUAUUACAGCAGAAUACAAUCAAUACCCAUACUACAUUGACUCUGAUGAUGCUGUAUUAGUGGUGAGGUUUCUGAUUUGAAAUAAGAUGGUGGAAUCACAGAUGUUUUGAAUGGUGAUACCGCCCACCUGUGGUCAAAAAUGGAAACUACAUCUAUGAUCAAAACUUUGUCAACCCACCCACACGAGGUACAGAUAGUAUGUCGUCAUCAGCGUGGGACAUUUUCUA